AGCAGCCGCGGUAAUUCCAGCUCCAAUAGCGUAUAUUAAAGUUGUUGCAGUUAAAAAGCUCGUAGUUGAACUUCGGGGUCUACCCAUUGGUCAGGCUUAAUUGUCUGCACUGGUGAGAUGGAUCUCUACCUUCUGAGGAACUUUCAUGCCAUUUAUUUGGUGUGAUUGGAAAUCAGGACUGUUACUUUGAAAAAAUUAGAGUGUUUAAAGCAGACUAUCGUCUGAAUACAUUAGCAUGGAAUAAUGAAAUAGGACGGACUGAUUCUAUUUCGUUGGUUUCUAGGAUCACCGUAAUGAUUAAUAGGGAUAGUUGGGGGCAUUAGUAUUCAAUUGUCAGAGGUGAAAUUCUUGGAUUUAUUGAAGACUAACUACUGCGAAAGCAUUUGCCAAGGAUGUUUUCAUUAAUCAAGAACGAAAGUUAGGGGAUCGAAGACGAUCAGAUACCGUCGUAGUCUUAACCAUAAACUAUGCCGACUAGGGAUCGGACGAAGUUAAUUUUAUAAUGACGCGUUCGGCACCU
rnacentral:rRNA from 1 species